UUAGGUGUGAAUGUAUGAUGAGGAUAGCAGUGAUAAGCUUAUGUACUUCGUCGACCACUGGCUUGCCCUUGACAAAGUUGAUGGUUCAAUCUGUAGAGGACUACCAGCAGUACGUAAAGGCACCCCUAGCCUGCCAGUGUUACGCUAUGUGGUUGCUGUGACAACAGGAAGUUGGAUGCUGGAGUGGACAGUGCAAAUUUUUAUACUCAAUCUGAUUGGUGUAGAUGGAGAUAUUGGCUUGAGGGAGGGUACCUCACUGGAGCCAUUUCUAAAAGUUGAUUCCCUUGGCAGCCUGGACAAACUGACAUAUUCAUUGUUGAAGCCGUUUCUGUUGGGAAAAAAAUGAAAAUGAAGUGACCUUCGGCAGUCUUGAUCAGAUCAAGAGAGCAUCAUGGAGAAACACCAGAGAAAGGGAAUUCAAGACAAAAAACACCAAAGGAUGUGCUUUCAAAGAAAGGUUGCAAAACAUGAAAGAAAAGAAUGAAACCCUAGUGCAGUUCUUG